ensembl:lncRNA
UGGGGGUGAUGUUAACCGUACUAAUCUGGAGGAAGUGGGUGUGAGGUUAACCGUACUAAUCUGGAGGAAGUGGGGGUGAGGUUAAUCGUACUAAUCUGGAGGAAGUUGGGGUGAGGUUAACAGCACUAAUCUGGAGGAAGUGGGGGUGAGGUUAACCGUACUAAUAUGGAGGAAGUGGGGGUGAGGUUAACCAUACUAAUAUGGAGGAAGUGGGGGUGAGGUUAACCGUACUAAUAUGGAGGAAGUGGGGGUGAGGUUAACCGUACUAAUAUGGAGGAAGUGGGUGAGGUUAACCGUACUAAUCUGGAGGAAGUGGGUGUGAGGUUAACAGUGCUAAUAUGGAGGAAGUGGGGGUGAGGUUAACCGUACUAAUAUGGAGGAAGUGGGUGAGGUUAACCGUACUAAUAUGGAGGAAGUGGGG